UUAAAGGGGGUCAUGUGUAUCUCCAGUAGAGUCUGACUUAAUUAAUGACGAUUUUACUCAUAAUAAGCAUUUACAAAUUUCCUAAAAAACCAUUUUUACUCUAAAAGCAAGAUUAAUAAAAUAAGGUGAUACAACAUUUAACUGGCUUAUUAACGAUCAAUUCUUACCAUGAGAACUUUUCAUGAAAAAGAAUUACAGGCCUAGUAUUGGACAGAAAAAAUCCGUAUAAACUCAACGUGUCUAAACAUUUUCGAGCUGAGAACCCACGACAGUUGUAAGUACAAUGAAUAUUAUAUUAUACGUGUUUUUCGAAUAUAUAUGUAAUGAAACACUAUUCAGAGAUAUACCGUACCUACUUAAUGAAAAAGGAGUGGUUACAGCAGUGUCUUGUUACGAACCAUGGACACCAAAAUACAUCGG